UAACUCCAUUGAAUUUUAUUAAUCUCUUUUGUGGUGGCACAAAAUCGGAAGCCCCGACUGUUUACUAAAAACACAGCUAUCUGCAACGAUGUAAAUCAUAGUAUAGGUAGUGAGGUUUGCCCGAUGCCAUUAAUAUAAGAGAAGUGAUGGGUAACUGUUAAUUAUCGAAAAUCUGGGUAAUAGCGGUCUUAACUAUGAGGAUCCUAAGGUAGCAAAAUAAAUUGGCCAUUAAAUGUGGUCCGGUAUCAAUAAUUUAACGAUGGCUUCACUGUCUCUACAACUUGCUCAGUGAAAUUGAAUUACCCGUGCAGAUGCGG
rnacentral:rRNA from 1 species